CCCCGGGCGCAAAACCAAAAUCCCUAAUCUCAACAUCACUGUCUCUCUUACUCUCUCGUUUCUGCACCGAUCACCCUCUCACUCUCUCGUUGUUCAUCUCAUCGCACCGAUCAUCAUCGCACAGCCGAUCUACUCACAGGUAAACUCUCUCUCUCAAUCUCUGUCUCUCUCUCUCUCCCGAUCGUUGAUUUUUUUUGUUUUAUAUAUAUAUAUAUAUAUAUCUCUGAUCUGACCUUUGAAAGCGAGGAGUUAUAGAUCAGUCCAACUUUUCCGAAACUAUUGGUUCAAUUUCUACACUUCACCGUAACUAUUAAAUUGUGUUUGUUUCGAUCUCCCUUUGUCGUGUUUCUUGAUCGAUUUUUGUCAACUAAUCUAUUAAAAUCUGUAUGUAUCAAUUUCUUGUUCUUGCUUGGGGUUUGUCUGAUUAGAAACCUGAUCUCGAGAACUCAAAGCUUGUUAGGGUUUUCACUAAUUUCUCUUAGAAAUACAGGGAUCUGAUCUCUAAACUUGUAUUUCGUGCUCUAUUUGUGUCGAAUCGAUCUCGAUGUUCUCAUGGUUCAAGAAGAAGAGGCCUCUUAGAACUAACAGAUCGAUGUGGUACUUUAACUGGUUUUAGUAAUGAGGUAUAUAUAUACAUAAAUUACUUUUUUCAAACCUAACAGAAACUAGGACUUGUUCUUCUCAUGGCUGGUGAGUUUGUUCUCUGUUUGUAUUGUACAGAUCUCACUUUCAACUCUGUUUGAAGUACAAUGAUUCAAUCUCCGUUGACAAUGUUUUAGUUACGAUAUUUUAUCUUGCUUUUUUCAUUAUGACUUCCAAUAUUGUUUUGUCCUUUGAUGUUGUUAGGGGUAAUACAACACUGGAUAGUUUGUCCAGCCCAUGACUAUUGUCUUGUGUUAAAUAUGUUUCUUAAUUUUUGUAACCAUCCCCUGUUUGAAGAUGUUUUCAAAUUUUGUACUUCAUAUUAAUUAAAAUUCACAGUUUGUGCUAACCUCACCUCACUGAAUUUUAGCUAUUCUAUACUUCUAAUUUUGAUGGUACUUCAUCACAAAUUUGUUUGUAGAUAGGAGGUUUAAAGUGUCAUGCACUAUGACAUUUUCUUUCUUGGUUCUUUGUAUCUUUUAUAUCCUUUUUCCUGGAACUAGAGUAGAGCAUACAAAAUAAUGUACUCAUGUUUUGUGGGUAUAGCUUUAAUUUUUGAUAGAAAGCAUAGUGUUUCAAGAUUUUAUAUGGAGGAAUACUCGCUAACAAUUUGUCAUAACCCCUCUCUUGGUAGCAGCUAAGAAGUUUAUCUCCUGAGGAUAUGCUAUGCUAUUUCAAAGAAGAUUAUCACCUCUUGAUCCAGGUUUUUUUGUUUUUGUAAAUUGAUACGGUUUAUUUUCCUAAAGCUUCUGACACACAAAUGUUAUGUGAACAAUGUGAGUCAACUUAUUUGUGACCAAAGAACACAUUUACAAGUGGAGGUUCACUUGUGAAAUUAUGAUUCAAUCAGGAAUUUAUCAAAUGGUUUCAUGACAGAAGAGAGCUCUCCUGAUGCUGCAUCAGAGGAGUUGGGUAAUGAGUACUUUAAAUCGAAAUUUGAAUAAGCAAUUGAUAGCUAUUCUAGGAGCGUUGCGUUAUGACCAACUGUAGUAGCCUGUGCAAAUUAUCUGGAAAUAAGAAGGCAAG